CUUGUGCUCUUCUCUUCACUGCAAACAGUGACCUUUGCACAGAUAGAAAAGGUACAAUGUGGGCAGCAGAAAAAUGAGUUUGUGUCAUACGGUUCAUUCAGAAUUUGUGAAAAUAAAAGUGGAAGACAUUUUCAAGAUCACCCUUACAGUUCAAUUUUAAAUGUUCAGGGAAUCUUUUCUUGCUCACAAGUGAAAAACCUGAGGAUAAGUCAUUUAAGGAAAGUCUGUUCUACUUUCAUCAUGUUAUCAGUAAGGUAAAUGAAGAAAUCAAAAUGUAAGUCUGAAAGAAGUAGCCUUUGAAAGCAUCUGAAUUGCACUUCCUCAGGCCAGUGGAAUUUGACAGCUAAUUAUGAGAACUACAGAUAGUACAAAACUCUGAAUUUCUCAAAAUGUACCAGUAAUUGUCUGUGUAGAGAGAACUGGUUACACACAUAAUGGGAAACUCCCAGCUUCCCUUAGGAAAAGUGGUUACAUGGGUGAGCGUCAGGCCUUAUGCUUGGAAUUAUGGGGUACAGGUCUGACCGAAGCCCUCUCAUUCCUGCUUUGUCUUUAGCAGACUGAGAGGAACACUGAGCCCCUCAAAGGAGAGCUCCCCACAGGAAGGAAAAGUCAGCCUAAGAGGGAGCGAAAUCCAUGAAGCUGAGUUGCCAGAAUCCCUCCACAGGCCACCCAAGCAGCGAAGAAAUUCAUGGAGAGAAAGAAAGAAAAGACCCACAGCCCUCCACAACACAGUGAAGAAGGAGCCCCACCUACCACAAGGUUCUUCAUCCUGCUGGGGAAGCCACACAGAGUUGAGACCAAAACGUAUGGAAGGAAGGUAGAAAGGAAAGAAGGAAGGUUUUAUCUGCCUUCCUUUGUUUUCUAUGGAUAAAUGCCAAAUCCCUCAUACUUAAACUUUUCCCCCUUCCUUUACUUUGCCUCCCAGUUUUCUUUCGAAUGAAUGAGUAAAUUGUUCAAAUUUUCUCAAUAAUCUCCCUCUGUAGCUCAUUCCAGUGUUUAAUUACUUUGACAGAAGGAAGGGAGGAAGG
rnacentral:lncRNA from 1 species